UGGGGAAUAUUGCACAAUGGGCGCAAGCCUGAUGCAGCCAUGCCGCGUGUGUGAAGAAGGCCUUCGGGUUGUAAAGCACUUUCAGCGAGGAGGAAGGUGGUGGACUUAAUACGUUCAUCAAUUGACGUUACUCGCAGAAGAAGCACCGGCUAACUCCGUGCCAGCAGCCGCGGUAAUACGGAGGGUGCAAGCGUUAAUCGGAAUUACUGGGCGUAAAGCGCACGCAGGCGGUUUGUUAAGUCAGAUGUGAAAUCCCCGGGCUCAACCUGGGAACUGCAUUUGAAACUGGCAAGCUAGAGUCUCGUAGAGGGGGUAGAAUUCCAGGUGUAGCGGUGAAUGCGUAGAGAUCUGGAGGAAUACCGGUGGCGAAGGCGGCCCCCUGGA
rnacentral:rRNA from 1 species